rnacentral:lncRNA from 1 species
CGGCCGGGCUACAGAUGCGCGCCAGCUGCGGCCCCGGGUGCAGGCGCGGCGACCGCCCCCGAGGAGCUGCCCUUUCCUUGCCAUCCAUGCGGCCAGGUCUCAGACAAACCGAUGGCUUUGUGUCAAACCAAGGCCGCCUUCCUCACCUCUGAUAAGAUGGACGCCUUCUGUCUUCGCGUUUUCAGGCACCCGGGGAAGACCCACAGAACAGGCUAGCUUGUUCCCAAUUUCCACCUGCUUCCUCCCCAUCCCGGACCGACAAAAAUUGUCGUCUGUUUGAUGGGAGGGAGAACUCCGACUCCCCCACCUGGGGCAUGCAGACACCCUCGCCCUUCCCCAGUUGGCAUGGACCGUCGUCUUUUCUCCCUCUUCCAUCAGAUCGAUGGACAAACAGGCCAGUUUCUCCCCAGUGGCCCCCACCUAAGAGCACCCUAAGUUGUCCACAGCAGGGCUAGGAAGCAGAAGGUCAGGACACUCCCCUACCCUACCUUGACUUAGAGCUGGGUAAACCCAGAACCCAUCCCCGGGCAAAUAGAGCCAGCUCCUUUGCCCCAGGAAGGGGAUUCGUCUCCCUCUGGCAUUUAGGAGUGCUCUCUAAGUGCGUUCUUGGCAGUGAGGGUGCCGCCUUCCCAGGGCAGGUGUGAUUCAUGUGGACUCUGUGGCGCCUGGGCAGGGAUCCCCAGGUAUACCAGACAAGGGGCAGGUGUGCCCUGGGAAACCGCCUAAGAGGUCCAUGGGCUAUGGAAGGAGCUGGGGUCCACAGUCCCUCUGCCUGAGCGUGUCUUUUUCCCUCACCCACAGCGCUCUAGGGAAAGUUGCCUAAACCUCUCUGAGCCUCAUUUCUUUCAUUUGUAAAGUGGGGCACUCAUAGUGGCCCUUCAUAGAAUUGUGUGUAAAGUGCUUAGCACAGGCCUGGCACAUGGAGGGUGCUCCAGCCUCCGGGAGCCAUCACUGUCAUGAAAAAAUAAGACCUCUCAAUCCUUGCUGGGGGCCUUUGACCCACCCCUCCUCUCUCUGGGCCUCACACUUCCAUCUGUGAAAUGUCCAGUUCUCAUAUUCAAAGCUUACUAGGACUCCAAGCCAGUCCAUGCUGUCCUGAUCCCUCAAUUCGCCCACAGGCUGCCUGGGGGAGGUAAGGACUGGCUGUGACCUACCUCCACGUGGAGUCAGCUCAUAGCGGGGUUUCCAGCAACCAUCACAGGGCGGCCAGAGCUGGGUCUCGAUGAUUGCCUGUCUGACCAUUCCUCUCAGAACCUCACUUUCGCCCCCAGCCGGCCGCCCUCCUGUGGGCAGACCCUUUCCUGAGUAGCAACUGGGCCUCAGCGGACACUGCCAGGGACCCCGUUUCCUUCCCAGGAGGCCUCUGUUCCCCAUAUCCCGAAUCACACAGGAGCCUAGUCCAGCGAAGAGAGCAGAGGACUCUCUUCUAGAACUGAAAAUUUCUCCCAGCCUGGCCCUAAAUCCCCUGUCCAGAGGGACCCGUGGUGAAACCUAUCUCCUGCCCAGUGCCCUAGAACUCAAAGGGGACAUUCAUGCCCCUCACUGAGCCUCAAUUUCCUCUUCUGUCAAUGGAGGUCAUUCUAACCACUCCAUUUCACGGGAGGGGGAUUAAGGAUUCCCUCUAGGAGGGGAGGGGCAUCAUUGUGAUUGAUGAUCGAUUGUUUGAAGAAACAGAAAGAAAAUGCUGCUGAGUAAACUAGGACUCAUCUGCAUCCUGAUUUCAGAUAAUGAUCUCUGAAUAUAUAAGCGAGAAAUGUUAAUGAAAAAUGGCAAUAUAUCUGGGUUGAGGGGUUGUCUCCUGUAGGCCGGGGGUCCAGCUCCAGAGAGUCCAGCUCUGGGGUCAUCUAUCCUGGGCAGCCUCUCUGGAAGGAUUCAGAAUGUGUGGGAGCACAAAUGUGCUUCUCAAAUUACAGAGAUCUUUCUUCCUUUUUGGAAAGUUCCAGACUUGGAGGGGAGGGAGAAGGAGCAAGGGAGAGCAGGGUGGUGAGGGUGUUAGGACCCAGAUGCUGCCUGUGCGGUCUGAGACUUUUGCCUGGUGUCCACGCUCCCCUGAGCCUUGGUCCCCGAGGGUAAAAUGGGAAGAACAGUAACAGCUGGGGGUGCUGAGGCUUUACCUUGUGCCAGGCGCCGCACAUGGGCAUUGCUCAUGGUAUUCAAUCCCCACGGCGUCAUAUGUGGUAGGUGUUAUGCCCAUGUAAGCAAAGAGGAACGUUGUCCGAGGUCAGCCAGGCUAGAGAGGGCCAGACCCGGGUUAAAAGUCUGCUCUGGUUCAAAAUGUGGGGCAUGAACGCAUCACCUGGCCAAGCAUGUCAGCACUCUCCUCCUAGUGGCUGAGUAAUGGGAAGAGCUAGCAUCUAGAUACAGAGGAAAGAGCUAUUGUGAUGGGGAGAGGGAGCUGGGUUUGGUAAAUCCUGCUAAGCAGCCCUGGGCUUGGAAAUCAGUAAACUCUUCAAAUCUGCAGGGAGUCAGGAAGGACUUGCCAGGGUCAUUCGGGAGGGUCCUGUGAUAGUCAAGGUGCACCCACCACCUGCUCUCCUUUGGCCUCAGAACCAGUCUGCGAGGAGGCAGGACUGGCAGUAGUCCCCAGUUUACAGAUGGGAACACUGAGGCCCAGAAAGGGGAAAGGGCGUGAUCAGGAUCUGGAAUGAGCUCCAGCAAGGCCAGGAGCAAGCACCUCGAGGCAAAACGCAGUUGGACAGGACCUUUGCCUUGCAGGAGACUGCAGCCCAGUCCUGGGCCUCAUACACUAGCACCCUGAUGCCACAUUCAGUGCCUCUCGCCCAGGGGAAGUGCUAAUCAGACGUGUUUCCCUCUGGGCCUCAGUGUUUGCAUCUGAAUGCGGGGGUGCACUUUCAAGGCCCCUCUACAUGCCAUGCGGGUUCCAUAGGACCCCAGGGUUUGGUUGUGACCCGAGGCCCCUCCUCCCCACCCACCUCCUCUCCACCUCCCGCGGGGCGCCAGCUCCCUUGCGUCCACAUGACCUCGGAUCCUUCCACGCCCAUCCCCACCCUGUUCUGCAGGUGGGUGGUCAGAGGGUGCUCUGCUUUGAGGAUGGGAGAGAGAAAGGGAGGCAAGGACGGAGAAAAGAGACUUCUUUUGCGGGAGCGCAGAGCAGAAAAACCGUCUCCAUCGGUUACCAGGGAAGGGGUUUCUGGUUUCAGAUCCCAUCACUUGGUGGGGCCUUCCUACCACCCUCCCUGCUACUCGCUCUUGUCAUCUGUAAAUCAGGGAAAUACUUCUGGAAGACAGUUAUCUGGUCUGUGACUUUGAUCAUUGGUCUAUGACUAAUAAUUGCCCUAAUUUUUUGAACACCUGCCGCAUGCUGGGAGUUUUCCGCCAAUUGUCGCUCACCCUCAGGUGCCUCUGAAGGGCAGAGAUUUUAUUCUUUCCAUUUCACAGAUGGGGAAACCCAAGCUCCGAAAGUAAAGAGCUUUUCCUCUGUGGGCCUCAGAAUCUGAGAAGUUCAAACAGGUUCUCAGGAGCCCUUCCAGCACCCCACUCCUCGAUCAGGGAGGGGCUGUCUGCACUCUGACCGCUGCUCUCAGCGCAGAGCUCUCCAUCCAAAGCAGCAGGUGCGUGCAGAGCUACCUGCCAGCAGAGCCAUCAAACACGGACUCUUCUACUGGGAGCCAUGGAGUGGUGAGAGAGACCUGGGCAGCUUGGAGCCAAGGGGGCUUCUGGGAAACAUGUGCCCUUCCCCCAGGGUGGGGUUCAGCUCUGGCGGGCAGGGAGAGAAAGGGCUCUUCUGAGUGGCUGUUGCUUUACACACAUUUUUGCUUCACAGUAUUCUUAGGGAGUAGCGACAGUUAUCACUCCCAUUUUACAGGAAAGAAAACUGAGGCUUAGAGAGCUCAAGUAACUUGUCCAAGUUGGCACCACUGGGAAACCACAGGGGUAGGAUUCCAACGAGGCAGCCUGGCCCCAGAGCCCAUGUUGCUGCCCACUACACUCUACUCUUGUGGACUAAAACCAGAUGCUCAGAGUUACAGUCAUGGAAUAGAAUUAGAAUCCUGGCAGAAGAACUGUGGGCAGGAUUCGGAAUUUUACAAUGUCAGACUCGAAAGGGCUCUGAGAUAUCAAAUCCAAAUCCCCAUUUCUCAAAUGACAGAACUGAGGCCUAGGAAGGAAGAGUCUCACUCAAGGUCACAGCCAGUGCCAGGGACAGAGUCUGCACCCCCUGCCUCUCCAGCUACCUCCCGCUGACUCCGCACCUUCCUCUCUCGCAGGCCCUCCUCUCCCCACUGCCCACCCAGCAGCUUCUGGGCCCAGCCAGGCCCAUUAGGGAUUUUCCACCUCCCCAAAAAGGUCCUGAUGACUGUCAGUCCUUGUGAAGCCUUAAUUAAUCUCAGAGGCCGAUGGCUCGGAGGAGACUGGGGGCUUUGGCCUUACGCAGAUGAAGAUUGCGGCUCUAUUUCAUGUGGUGGUGAAAGAACGCCUCAGACAUUCCUGCCAGCAAUAAAAGCCACAUGGCUUUCCAGCAUCGCCCUUGGAAAAGAAAAAAAAGUGCAGCCCUUUGCGGAAAUAAAUCAACUAUGUGCUGUACGCAUGGCAUGAGAUACAAAUGGGCAUACGGAGGUGGGCAACAGUCGGUCUUUUAUGCCGCCUCUGAUGUCCACUGACAGUGGCAGGGCCAGCGGUCAUGGUCCCAGCUGCAAUCCUGGGGAGAGGGAGUGACCCCCAGUGUGGUGGGGGAAGCCUCAGCUUCUCCACCUGAACUGGAUUUGAGCCACCCUAGAUAUCCCAGAGGCAGGGCCGGCUUUCUGGCCUGUGACCCAUGCAGUCGCACAGGGCCCUGGUCUCAGAAGGGUCCUGAGCUUGUUUUAAUGCCCUGCCACCACUGCCUUGAACUUCUGAAUACUUGCUCAACAAAGGUCCUGCGUUUUCAUUUUGUACUGGGCCCCCCAAAUUAUAUAGCCAGUCCUGACCACAAAUCCACCCCUCAUCACCAAUUGUCACGUCUCUCCUGGCCCCUGCCAUGUACCCAAUCCCGGGGAGUAGGGUUUCUUGAGUGCCUACUAGCCAGUUUGCUUAUAUCACCUGAGAUGAACUUCAGAAUGACUUUGUGAAUUGGGCAGAUGUGGAAAAUUGAGGCUCAGAGAGGCUUCCAUAUGGCAAGGAAGCCUAGACUUGAACUCAGGUCUCCCUGACUCCAAAGUGAGUGCUCUUAGCAGCUCUACAUUCUGCAUUAUUUCAUCUUCACCAUGCCCAGGGGGAUGGGGAUACACACAGUUAGGCUGCUCUAUUCCCAGAUAACAGAAGGCAUAACUGAGGCCAGAGAAGUGAAGGUUCUCAAGUCAGUGUCAAACCGAGGGCCUGGGCAACAGUGGACCUGGGCCUGGAUCCAUAGGGCUGGGGAUGGAGUCUCAGUUUUAUAGUUGUUUGUGCCACUUGUAAAUUUAUUAGCUCUUUCCAUGCAGGUCACUGCCUUGAGUCUGGUCUGGAAUGUGGCUGGAGCCCUACCCUGUCCCCCUCCCCCACAGCUCUCCAUUCUAAACAUCUGGAAGUCCUUCCUUGUGUCUUCUUCCACUCUUUCACGCUGCAGUUUUCCUCUGCCACCCUCACUGGUUGGGAAGCAGUUGGAUCUGGCACCUUGAUAAACUCAAAAGAGUCCAAAUUCUUGAUGAAAGUUGGGGCUGAACAGAGCCCAUAGAUUGCCAUGUCCUAUAACCAGGCCUGGGCCUAAGGCUCAUAGAGCCAACUGCUAGAUCCAGGGCAGCCAUUUCCUUGUUCCUUGCUGGGUAACCUUGAGCAAGUCCCUUCCCUCUCUGGCCCUCAGACUCCCCUUCAGGGAGAUAAAUGCAUUGGACCACACCUGAGCCCCAGGAGGCCUCUCUGUCUUCAACAUUCUAGAAUUCCAUAUUAAUCUACAACAGGUCUGUUCAUUUCCGCAUCUAAUAGCUGGGGAAACCGAGGCCCAGGAAGGAUCAGAGAUUUGCCCACCGUCACAGAAGGUGCUUAUUGACAAGUGGACUUGACUCUGAGGCUCCUGUCAGCUGGCCCGGUUGCCUCUGCACAAACUUUCGGAGGAUCUGGCCUCAGCAUCAGCUCAGCUUGCCCUUGUCCCGCCGCCUUUAGCCCAGGUGGUCUGUCAGGCACCCUCAGUGUCCAGGCCUGGAAAUCACAGCUAAGAGUCCUUGGCAGGCAAUAAAGUUCCUCUUCUAUGGCUUGAAUGUCUCCCAAAAGUCAUACAUUAAAACUUCACCCCCAUUGUGAUGGUAUUAAGAGGCAGUGGGGGGCCUUUCGGGAAGUGAUUAAGUGGUGAAGGCUCUGCCCUCAUGAAUGGAUUAGGCCCUCUUUGCCCUUCUGACUUCAGGACACAAUGUUCUGUGUCCUCCGGAGGACACAGCCAGAAGACACUGCCUUGGAAACAGGGAGUCCAGGACCUCACCAGAUGCGGAACCUGCCAGAGCCUUGAUCUUGGACUUCCCAGUCUCCAGAACCAUGUGUACUCUGCAAGGUUGGUGUAACCCCUACAGAUGAGGAAACCAGAGACAGAGAAGUGAAGUAACUCAUGCAGGUGACGGCAGAGGGCAGAGUCAGGACUUGAACCUGGAGAGCCUGGCUCUAAAGCCCAAGCUGGAAUCUCGAUACUCUACACCUCGAUAAGUUUUUGGGAAAUGACUGACUAAACAGAUGAACGCGUUUGCCCCCCCGCCGCCCCAGAGCCCCCUUAAAGCCUACAUGUGGCAGUUUGGGCCCAUUUCCUUGGCUUCCCUCCCUGGAGGGGCACCCACUGCCAGUGUCCCUGGUGAGUGUUUGCCUGUGGGGGUACAAGUGAGGGUUCAGCAAAGGUGACCUGGUGUGAGGGGGGGGUGCCCCAGGGGGUGCAGAGGAGGGCCUCAUGAGGCAGAUUCAGAAUGAAGGUUCUGGCCCCCAGUGGAACCGUGCAUGGGCAAGGGGUCCUCAGGGCCAUUGGCCCAUAAUUGUCAGACGGGGAAACUGAGGCCCAGAGAGAGGAAGGGACUUGUCCUUAGUUACACAGAGUGUCUGGAUCACAGCUCUUAGGUCUCAGCUUCCCCAUUUGUCACACAGGGAGAAUAAAUCCCCCUUGUCCUGCCUGGGGGUAGACCCCAGGGGGCCCCUGUGCCCUCUCACACCUUCCAUUCCAGCUUCUAGAAUUCCACCAUCCAUGCACCAGCCCUGAGGGUAGGCGUUGCCCUCUUCUCACCUCCUGCUCACGCCUCUACUGCAGGAUGGGAACCAAAUGCCUCUCCACCCUUUUCCCACACCCCUUCUCUCCACAGUGAACUGAGGGGAGUUUCUGAUCCCUUAGCUCAAAGUCAGAGAAACUGAGAGGGGAGGGCUGGGUGGGAGCCGUGGGAAUGUCAUGCACAAGCAGUCGGACUCUCCAGGGGUCUGGAUCUCUCCCUUGCUGCCUUGAAGGCCCCUGCACAGGCUGUGGCACUGGCUGAGUACAGGUGCCUGAAGGCAGAGGCAUGGAUGGGAUGCUUCAUUCUCAGCCUGUUUUUGCCAGUGAAGACAAAAGGGAAGUCAUCUUCCGUUGGUCUAUGGGGACCCUGAGGUAGUAGGAGCUCGGUGAUAAUUCUAGGGACCACCCUGGGUUGUCAGGUGGGGGAGACAGAGAAGCCCACAUAGGAGGCACCAAAUGCAACUCACUCGUGCCCUUUUACUCAUGAGAGAACACGGAUCCAGAGAUGUCAAGUGACUCAGACACAGUCUCACAGCACACAGGCGGCAGAGGCAGGUAGGGGACUGGGCUUCCCUGGCAGCAGUCCCCAAGCCUGCCUGAGAGGCACAUCAGAAUCGCUUUAGGGGAUUUGCAAAACCACACCUGCCCAGGCCCAAACCCUAGAGAUUCUGAUUCCGCAGUCUGAGGUAGGAAUGGAGAAUCCUCCACAGCCUGAGGUAGGAACUGGGAAUCCAGUGUUUAAAACUCUCUAGGGGCGGUGAUUUCAGAAAACCUGCUGGCUCCAUCACACUUUGCUCAGGGACUGAGAUGGGAUGGCAUUUGGAAGACACAGGUAGGAGGAAGAGGAGGCAGUGGGGGGCACAGGGAGACCCUUCCCCUUCUGGUAAAAGCCUGUGGACGAGAGAACAGCCCGAGUAAGAUUCUGAGAACCCGAGACCCGGAUGGACCUGGAGUUUUUGUCUUGCGUAUAAUUUAGGGGGUCUGUGACACUGGGCUGGAGAUAACCGUGUCUUUCCUUUCCCUGGCCUCUAGCUGAAAUUUAGCAUCAUAUUCCAUGGCGAUUUUCCACCAGUGGAAAUCACAGGUGUUCUCUGGUAUCACAGCGGGGUCAGGGAUGACCUGAAAUAUUGUUCAUGCUCAUCACAACUGCAUGGCCCACCGCGGGGUCUUGUCACUCAGUGAGUUCUUGAAGAGGCACAGACAAAUGGAGUUCAACAAAUGGAAAACAACUGCCUUUAAUUAGCUCCGAGGACUACAAAGGGAACAACGUUAUAAUAGCAGCAACUCCAAGGAAGCAGCCACAGCUCUCAGCUCUCAGACCUGGGGCUGCCGCUCAUCAUCAGCUACAGCUAGGUUUGAUGGGAGUGCCCCCAUUUCAGGGGACAGCAGGCCCCCUUCACUCCCCGACUCAGUCCCCAUCUGCAGCAGCACAGCCUUCCUUGGCCUCACCAGGGAAGAAGAACAGGCCCCGCUCUCAGACAAGCCUUCCCAGAAGCCUGAGGACUCAAACACCCAAAUGUGUCUGGGUCCCUGCCCCGAGCCGGCCACCCAGGCAGCAGCCCUGAAUCACUCGGUCAGCCAGCGGCAGGGCAGGCCAAUGGGCUGGAGGGUAGGCAGGCAGGCAGACCCACCUCUGCAUCUCUGCUGACUGCCUCGGCUGAGGAAAGGCAGCACCAGCCCCCAACCCUGAAGUUCUAGAUCUCAUGCAGCCUCUCUGUUCUGGAACCAUCCAGAGGCACUGCCCUUAUACAUGGUCCACCCCCAGGCUCAGACAAUGAGAAUUCCACAAGCAGAGGGGACUCUAUUUGGGGCACAGAGAGGUUAAGUAACUCCCCUCCUAAGGUCUCUCAGCAAGGAAGCCACUGAGCCGUGGGACUUGAGCUCAGGGACUCUUGAUCCCCAGUCUCAGGUGUCACAGCCCCAUCUGGGCUCCUGCUAGGGAGGAGGAAGGCAGCAGGGGGUGUCUGAGGCCAGGGUGCAUCAGCCCUAAAUGCCAGACAGAGGCAGGAGAAGUCUCCCCAUGAGUCCCAGCCCCAUUAGAGGCUCCAGGUCGGGGAUCCCAGACCCCCUAUCCUUGCUGGGAGACACAACCCAGAACUCUGCAUCCCUGCAGCCACCAAAAAAGGCAAAAGCUGCCCAGAAACACUUUCUCCUCUUCCGUGGCCAAAUCCACGAACUUUCUCGAGGUCUGUCCCCCUGCCCCGUGCAGGUCCAGCUUCAGUGCAGCCCAGCUCUGUGCAGUUUUCCACAAAAGCCUGUGGCUUCCUUCUCCUCCCUCUGCUUCUGAUACCCCAGGAGUUACACACAAAAUGUUGGCGGUGGUCUCCAGGAAGACCCCUGCAUCCCACAGCUCUCCCCAGAAGUUGCCAGCAGUGACCUCCUGAGCCCAGGUGGGGAGUCCCAGGCAGGACAGGGGCUGGGGCUGCAGGCCCUGGGGCCCUGUUAGUGAAGCAGCAAGCCGAGGGUCCCUGAGAGUUUCCCUUGGCCCCUCUGAGGGCUGCCCUUUGAGGUCUUGAGGUCUUGGAGUAUCCAUCGCCCCCACGGCUUACUGUCCCCACCAGCGGAGGAUGAAAGUGCCACAGCGAUGUUCCACGCCAAGAGACCACAGAGACCACCAACCCCUCUUCCCACCUCAGGCUUUCAGAGGCCAGCGGAUUUAGGCGGACAGGCUGUGCGCUUGAGGGCAGCCAGGGCGGUCAGUGGAGGGACGUGGUCCGGGGCCUGGCCACAGCUCCCCACCCAGGGCCCUGGGCUAUUGUUACUCACCGCGGAUGAAGGUCGGCGAGUAGGUCGGGAAGGAGUCGAAGAUGCUGUUCGAUGCCAUGCCCCGCUCUGAAGAAGGCGAGAAUUUUCAGCCCUUCAGGGGGUUGGGUUGGGAUUCACUUGGUUGGCUGUUGUUUUAUUUUUUUUUCCUCUAGCUACUUUUGAAAAUAAAAGGGGGGGGUGUUGCUUUUUGUUGUUU